GUUCGCUUGAAAGCCCAUUUAUAGUAGGAAUCCCAUUCAUAUUAGGAGACUCAUUAUCGCCUAAGCGAGAUGGAGGAAGUAGGGGCAAGCACGACAGCCUGGUGCGCUGUCGCCGGUCUGUUUUUCUUAAUUUUCGAUGGCCACCAAUCUAGGUAACCAAGUAUCUCGAAGCAUUAUGCACAGGAAUAGUCGGGUUUCCAGCACUCUUCACAAAGCGGUAUCAUAGUUGACCAAAUGCGACGAGGAUGAGAUGAGUUUUGCUGGGAUGUUUGUGAAUAACGAAAGUCGACACCUCCGGGCGAGAGAUGGGUUGGACCAAUCAUUGGAUUACGUUGCAAUACCCAAUUGAAGGAAGAGAGUCUGUGGCUAGGAUUUGCGAUCAGAUUUGUUGGAAGCUAUCAUUCAAGCCCAUUAGGAAUUGAUAGACUCAAUCGGAAUCUUGAAUUUCAGAGAGGGAUUUGCUUGCACCAUAGGUACGUGGAUUGGUUGGUUGUGAGGAAGCUAAUUCAUCCCAAAUUUCUUUUAAUUUGCCAUAAUAGGAGAUGAUGAACUGUUGGUCUUGGUGGAGAUUGGCUAUUUCACGCUUAAACCUGAAAAUCUUGAUUUUAUUACUCUGUUGAAAAUGAGUAUCCAAUACAAUCCAAAGGUUAUAUGGUGUAUCAUAGUAGAUGAGAUCCCUAUAAGAAACGAUCGAAUGAGUGACGAAACCAAGACAUAAUCAUAUCAUAACAUCAAUCCCAAAAGAAGAGCGGCAACAACAUCAUUUGUUCGAAGUUUAAUGGUGCCGAGGACAAAAUCUAGUUUGUUAUUUUGCAUUCAGGGCACGGGUUAUGGCAAUAUGCCAAGCAGGGUAAUUGUUGCCAUUGAAGAUUGCAUCUAAAAGGGAUUGGUUAGGUUGAUCUAAAGAAUGUAAGAAGUAAGGAGAUGCAGCAUCUGUGAAAGGUUUUGCAACAAAAACAGGAUGAUUUUCAUCCAUGGAGAAGGUAUGGAAUGGCUAAACCUUAUGAUUUUAGUAUUAGAAUGAAGUAAUUCUCAUUGAUUUAUGAUUUACUAUACAUUGGUAUUUAUAAUACAUGUGGAAUUUGCUAUAAUAGGAAACGAAACUAAUCUACGAAUGAAAGUAUACAAUAUCUUUGACAAAAAGAAUAAUCUUUAAUUACGGUUAAUAGUUCAAGUUUUGCUAUUGUGGAAUAGGC
rnacentral:lncRNA from 1 species